ACAAAGACGCAGAUCAUGUGGAAUGGGCUAAAGCCUUAAAAGAACUUUACUUACCUGGUUUAAGGGAAUAUGUCAAAAGUCAUUACCCCUUGGGACCUGUAUGGAAUGCAUCAGGGAAACCUGCUAGUGCUCCUGCAAAGGCUCCACCUGGUGCUCCUGCAAAGGCUCCACCUGGUGCUCCUGCAAAGGCUCCACCUGGUGCUCCUGCUCCUCCACCAGCACCCCUCUUCAGUUCUGAAUCUUCAAAGCCAUCAUCAUCGUCAAACCAAAAACAAGGGAUGUCUGCUGUUUUCC
rnacentral:lncRNA from 1 species